ACGCUGGCGGCGUGCCUAAUACAUGCAAGUCGAGCGAACGGACGAGAAGCUGGCUUCUCUGAUGUUAGCGGCGGACGGGUGAGUAACACGUGGAUAACCUACCUAUAAGACUGGGAUAACUUCGGGAAACCGGAGCUAAUACCGGAUAAUAUUUUGAACCGCAUGGUUCAAAAGUGAAAGACGGUCUUGCUGUCACUUAUAGAUGGAUCCGCGCUGCAUUAGCUAGUUGGUAAGGUAACGGCUUACCAAGGCAACGAUGCAUAGCCGACCUGAGAGGGUGAUCGGCCACACUGGAACUGAGACACGGUCCAGACUCCUACGGGAGGCAGCAGUAGGGAAUCUUCCGCAAUGGGCGAAAGCCUGACGGAGCAACGCCGCGUGAGUGAUGAAGGUCUUCGGAUCGUAAAACUCUGUUAUUAGGGAAGAACAUAUGUGUAAGUAACUGUGCACAUCUUGACGGUACCUAAUCAGAAAGCCACGGCUAACUACGUGCCAGCAGCCGCGGUAAUACGUAGGUGGCAAGCGUUAUCCGGAAUUAUUGGGCGUAAAGCGCGCGUAGGCGGUUUUUUAAGUCUGAUGUGAAAGCCCACGGCUCAACCGUGGAGGGUCAUUGGAAACUGGAAAACUUGAGUGCAGAAGAGGAAAGUGGAAUUCCAUGUGUAGCGGUGAAAUGCGCAGAGAUAUGGAGGAACACCAGUGGCGAAGGCGACUUUCUGGUCUGUAACUGACGCUGAUGUGCGAAAGCGUGGGGAUCAAACAGGAUUAGAUACCCUGGUAGUCCACGCCGUAAACGAUGAGUGCUAAGUGUUAGGGGGUUUCCGCCCCUUAGUGCUGCAGCUAACGCAUUAAGCACUCCGCCUGGGGAGUACGACCGCAAGGUUGAAACUCAAAGGAAUUGACGGGGACCCGCACAAGCGGUGGAGCAUGUGGUUUAAUUCGAAGCAACGCGAAGAACCUUACCAAAUCUUGACAUCCUUUGACAACUCUAGAGAUAGAGCCUUCCCCUUCGGGGGACAAAGUGACAGGUGGUGCAUGGUUGUCGUCAGCUCGUGUCGUGAGACGUUGGGUUAAGUCCCGCAACGAGCGCAACCCUUAAGCUUAGUUGCCAUCAUUAAGUUGGGCACUCUAAGUUGACUGCCGGUGACAAACCGGAGGAAGGUGGGGAUGACGUCAAAUCAUCAUGCCCCUUAUGAUUUGGGCUACACACGUGCUACAAUGGACAAUACAAAGGGCAGCGAAACCGCGAGGUCAAGCAAAUCCCAUAAAGUUGUUCUCAGUUCGGAUUGUAGUCUGCAACUCGACUACAUGAAGCUGGAAUCGCUAGUAAUCGUAGAUCAGCAUGCUACGGUGAAUACGUUCCCGGGUCU
rnacentral:rRNA from 1 species